rnacentral:rRNA from 1 species
AGAGAAUAGAUACCCGGGUAGUCCUGGCCGUAAACGAUGUCGACUAGAUCGUGGAACCUCUGACGGUGUCACGGUCGAAAGCAAAAAAAGUGCUAAGUCGACCGCCUGGGAAGUACGGUCGCAAGGCUAAAACUCAAAGGAAUUGACGGGGGCUCACACAAGCGGUGGAGCAUGUGGUUUAAUUCGAAGCAACGCGCAGAACCUUACCUGGGCUUGACUCGCUAGGAUUAUCUCGAUGAAAGUCGAGUAGGCCCCGCAAGGGGUACAACUAGUACAGGUGCUGCAUGGCUGUCGUCAGCUCGUGCUGUGAAGUGUUGCGUUAAGUCGCUUAACGAGCGAAACCUUUGCCCUUAGUUACCAGCGGGUUAUGCCGGGGACUCUAAGGGGACUGCCGGUGUCAAACCGGAGGAAGGUGGAGAUGACGUCAAGUCCUCAUGGCCUUUAUGCCCAGGGCCACACACGUGCUACAAUGCGGCGGAUAAAGCGAACCCAAAGCGCAAGCUGGAGGAAAUCGCACAAAUCGUCGCCCAGUUCAG